AUUGAACGCUGGCGGCAUGCUUUACACAUGCAAGUCGAACGGUAACAGGCCUUCGGGUGCUGACGAGUGGCGAACGGGUGAGUAAUGCAUCGGAACGUACCCAGAGGUGGGGGAUAACGCAGCGAAAGCUGUGCUAAUACCGCAUGUGAUCUGAGGAUGAAAGCGGGGGACCGAGCAGCAAUGUUUGGCCUCGCGCCUUUGGAGCGGCCGAUGUCGGAUUAGCUAGUUGGUGGGGUAAAGGCCUACCAAGGCGACGAUCCGUAGCUGGUCUGAGAGGACGACCAGCCACACUGGAACUGAGACACGGCCCAGACUCCUACGGGAGGCAGCAGUGGGGAAUUUUGGACAAUGGGCGAAAGCCUGAUCCAGCAAUGCCGCGUGAGGGAAGAAGGCCUUCGGGUUGUAAACCGCUUUUGGCAGGAACGAAACGGUGUCCGCUAAUACCGGGCGCUAAUGACGGUACCUGCAGAAUAAGCACCGGCUAACUACGUG
rnacentral:rRNA from 1 species